rnacentral:misc_RNA from 1 species
AAGUCGUAACAAGGUUUCCGUAGGUGAACCUGCGGAAGGAUCAUUAUUGAAUGAACUUGGUAGAUUGUAGCUGGCCAUUUCUGUGGCAUGUGCACGUCUAUCAUUUUUAAUCUUUCCACCUGUGCACGUUUUGUAGAUCAUUGAAUUACCUAUCCAAGGUGACUUGGGAUGGGAUUGCUGUGUAGAAAUACUUGGCUUUCCUUGGAUUUUCAAGAUCUAUGUUUUUUCAUAUUACACCAUAAAAAUUGUUAUAGAAAGUUAUUAUAUUGGCACCAGUGGCCUAUAAAAAGUAUAUACAA